rnacentral:tRNA from 6 species
CGGAGCGUGGUGUAACGGCUAACAUUUCUGUUUUGGGAACAGAAGACUCCGGGUUCGAAUCCCGGCGCUCCGACAA